AGUGAACGCUGGCGGUAGGCCUAACACAUGCAAGUCGAACGGCAGCACAGUAAGAGUUUGCUCUUACGGGUGGCGAGUGGCGGACGUGUGAGGAAUACAUCGGAAUCUACUUUUUCGUGGGGGAUAACGUAGGGAAACUUACGCUAAUACCGCAUACGACCUACGGGUGAAAGCAGGGGAUCUUCGGACCUUGCGCGAUUGAAUGAGCCGAUGUCGGAUUAGCUAGUUGGCGGGGUAAAGGCCCACCAAGGCGACGAUCCGUAGCUGGUCUGAGAGGAUGAUCAGCCACACUGGAACUGAGACACGGUCCAGACUCCUACGGGAGGCAGCAGUGGGGAAUAUUGGACAAUGGGCGCAAGCCUGAUCCAGCAAUCCCGCGUGGGUGAAGAAGGCCUUCGGGUUGUAAAGCCCUUUUGUUGGGAAAGAAAAGCAGCAGGUUAAUACCCCGCUGUUCUGACGGUACCCAAAGAAUAGGCACCGGCUAACUUCGUG
rnacentral:rRNA from 1 species